GAUGAACGCUGGCGGCGUGCCUAACACAUGCAAGUCGAACGGAGAUUACGGACGGAAGUUUUCGGAUGGAAGACCGUACUUCUUAGUGGCGGACGGGUGAGCAACGCGUGGGCAACCUGCCCUAUACAGGGGGAUAGCAGCUGGAAACGGCUGGUAAGACCGCAUAUGUCGGUUAAAUCGCAUGAUUUGAUCGGGAAAUGAGCAGUGAGGUAUAGGAUGGGCUCGGGUCCGAUUAGCCAGUUGGCAGGGUAAAAGCGUACCCAGGCGGCGAGCGGUAGCCGGACUGGGAGGUCGGACGGCCACAUUGGGACUGCGACACGGCCCAAACUCGUACGGGAGGCAGCGGAGGGGGAUAUUACACGAUGGAGCAAACUGUGAUGCAGCGGCGCCGCGGGAGUGAGGAAGUAUUUCGGUAUGUAAAGCCCUAUCAGCAGGGGAGAUGAUGACGGUACCGGACGAAGAAGCCCCGGCUAACUACGUG
rnacentral:rRNA from 1 species